CUCCAUGAAGUCGGAAUCGCUAGUAAUCGUGGAUCAGAAUGCCACGGUGAAUACGUUCCCGGGCCUUGUACACACCGCCCGUCACACCAUGGGAGUGGGCUGCAAAAGAAGUGGGUAGUUUAACCUUUCGGGGAGGACGCUCACCACUUUGUGGUUCAUGACUGGGGUGAAGUCGUAACAAGGUAGCGCUAGGGGAACCUGGCGCUGGAUCACCUCCUUAUACGAUGAU
rnacentral:rRNA from 1 species